rnacentral:rRNA from 1 species
GAUGAACGCUGGCGGCGUGCCUAAUACAUGCAAGUCGAGCGAACAGAUCAGGAGCUUGCUCCCUUGACUUUAGCGGCGGACGGGUUAGUCACACGUGGGUAACCUACCUAUAAGACUUGGAUACCUUCGGGGAACCAUAGCUACUACCGGAUAAUAUUUCGACCCGGAUUGUUCCAUCGUGAAAUAUGGUUUUUCUUUCGCUUAUAGAUGGACCCGCGCCGUAUUAGCUAGUUGGUAAGGUAACGGCUUACCAAGGCGACGAUACGUAGCCGACCUGAGAGGGUGAUCGGCCACACUGGAACAGAGACACGGUACAGACUCCUACGGGAGGCAGCAGUAGGGAAUCUUCCGCAAUGGGCGAAAGCCUGACGGAGCAAAGCCGCGUGAGUGAUGAAGGUCUUCGGAUGGUAAAACUCUGUUAUUAGGGAAGAACAUAAGUGUAAGUAACUGUGCACGUCUUGACGGUACCUAAACAGAAAGCCACGGCUAACUACGUG